rnacentral:rRNA from 1 species
CCUACGGGAGGCUGCAGUCGAGAAUCUUUUGCAAUGGACGAAAGUCUGACAAAGCGACGCUGUGUGAAUGAUGAAGGCCUUCGGGUUGUAAAGUUCUUUCGCUUGGGAACAAGGUGAUGUUGUGAAUAACAAUAGAGCUUGAGGGUACCAAGUAAAGAAGCACCGGCUAACUCCGUGCCAGCAGCUGCGGUAAUACGGAGGGUGCAAGCAUUAAUCGGAUUUACUGGGCGUAAAGGGCGCGUAGGCGGAUUAAUAAGUUAGAUGUGAAAUUUCGGUGCUCAACACCGAAGCUGCAUUUAAAACUGUUAAUCUUGAGGGUAGGCGGAGAAAAUGGAAUUCCACGUGUAGCGGUGAAAUGCGUAGAUAUGUGGAAGAACACCGGUGGCGAAAGCGAUUUUCUAGCUUAUACCUGACGCUGAGGCGCGAGAGCAAGGGUAGCAAACAGGAUUAGAUACCCCAGUAGUC